rnacentral:lncRNA from 1 species
AAGUGAUAAUGCUUUGGAAUUGGGGUCUAGUCUUGCUGGUGUUUCUUUCUUUAAUCAACAGGGCAUUACUCAUCAAAUUACCUGUCCCAAUACUCCUCAACAAAAUGGUGUUGUAGAAAGAAAACAUAGAAUCCUCCUUGAAGCAUGUAGAGCUUUACUUUUUCAAUCAAAGUUACCUGUUCAUUUUUGGGGGGACUGUUUAUUGACUGCCACCUAUUUGCUUAAUAGGAUUCCAUCCAGACUUCUUCACAACAAAUCUCCUUAUGAAAUACUGCAUGGCAAAGCCCCUACUUAUUCUCAUUUAAGGGCAUUUGGCUGUCUUGCCUAUGCCACUGUACCCAUUCCACAGAGAGAUAAGCUAAAACCUAGAGCUCUCUCCUGUGUUUUUCUGGGAUAUCCUUUUGCAAAAAAGGGCUACAGGCUAUAUGACCUCGCUAAAACCUAGCUCUCUCCUGUGUUUUUCUGGGAUAUCCUUUUGCAAAAAAAGGCUACAGGCUAUAUGACCUCACUACUAAGAAGUAUUUUGUGUCCAGGGAUGUUGUCUUUCAUGAAACCUGCUUUCCUUUUGACUCUGCUUCUGUUGUACCUCCUGAUGCUUCUGUUUUUCC